rnacentral:tRNA from 1 species
GAGGCUAUAGCUCAGUGGUAGAGUGCAUGCUUAGCAUGAAUAAGGUCCUGGGUUCAAUUCCCAGUAUCUCCA